GGGGAUUUAGCUCAGUGGUAGAGCGCUUGCCUAGGAAGCGCAAGGCCCUGGGUUCGGUCCCCAGCCCG
rnacentral:tRNA from 1 species